GCCCGCUCAGAAACUUAAAGGAAUUGACGGGGACCCCGCACAAGCGGUAGAUGAUGUGGAUUAAUUCGAUGCAACGCGAAAAACCUUACCUACCCUUGACAUGUACGGAACCCUGCUGAGAGGUGGGGGUGCUCGAAAGAGAGCCGUAACACAGGUGCUGCAUGGCUGUCGUCAGCUCGUGUCGUGAGAUGUUGGGUUAAGUCCCGCAACGAGCGCAACCCUUGUCAUUAGUUGCUACGCAAGAGCACUCUAAUGAGACUGCCGGUGACAAACCGGAGGAAGGUGGGGAUGACGUCAAGUCCUCAUGGCCCUUAUGGGUAGGGCUUCACACGUCAUACAAUGGUCGGUACAGAGGGUUGCCAAGCCGCGAGGUGGAGCCAAUCCCAGAAAGCCGAUCGUAGUCCGGAUCGCAGUCUGCAACUCGACUGCGUGAAGUCGGAAUCGCUAGUAAUCGCGGAUCCAGCAUGCCGCGGUGAAUACGUUCCGGGUCUU
rnacentral:rRNA from 1 species